AUUGAACGCUGGCGGCAGGCCUAACACAUGCAAGUCGAGCGGGGUUUUCGGACCUAGCGGCGGACGGGUGAGUAAUGCGUAGGAAGCUGCCCGAUAGAGGGGGAUACCAGUUGGAAACGACUGUUAAUACCGCAUAAUGUCUACGGACCAAAGUGUGGGACCUUCGGGCCACAUGCUAUCGGAUGCGCCUACGUGGGAUUAGCUAGUUGGUGAGGUAAUGGCUCACCAAGGGGACGAUCUCUAUCUGGUUUGAGAGGAUGAUCAGCCACACGGGAACUGAGACACGGUCCAGAAUCCUACGGGAGGCAGCAGUGGGUAAUAUUGGACAAUGGGCGCAAGCGUGAUCCAGCCAGGCCGCGUGUGUGAAGAAGGCCUUCGGGUUGUAAAGCACUUUCAGCGAGGAGGAAGGGUGGUGUGUUAAUAGCACAUCAUUUUGACGUUACUCGCAGAAGAAGCACCGGCUAACUCUGUGCCAGCCGCCGCAGUAACAC
rnacentral:rRNA from 1 species